ACUCUUGGCACUUUUUGUUUUAGGUUUCAGUUCUGCAGUCUACAAAGGACUCUUCUAAAAAGAUAUGUGUUGCCAACACCCAUCUCUACUGGCAUCCAAAAGGUGGGUACAUUCGUCUCAUUCAAAUGGCAACUGCAUUGACUCACAUUAGACAUGUCUCUUGUGAUCUGUAUCCUGGCAUACCGGUUAUAUUUUGUGGGGACUUUAAUAGUACACCGUCAACAGGAAUGUAUCAUUUUGUCAUCAAUGGCAGCAUUCCAGAGGAUCAUGAAGACUGGGCUUCCAAUGGGGAAGAGGAAAGAUGCAACAUGUCUCUUAGGCAUUUCUUCAAACUGAAAAGUGCUUGUGGUGAACCUGCUUACACAAAUUACGUUGGUGGCUUUCAUGGAUGUCUAGAUUACAUUUUCAUUGACUUACAUGCUUUAGAGGUUGACCAGGUGAUUCCAUUACCUAGCCAUGAAGAAGUUACCACCCACCAGGCCUUACCUAGUGUUUCCCAUCCCUCUGAUCACAUAGCACUUGUAUGUGAUUUGAAAUGGAAAUAGACUUAUGUGGAAUGGAAUUUGUUUUAAGUUUGGAAAGGAUGGUAGUUACUCUAGCUAAUUUUGUAUGAAUCAGAGCUUAAAUGUUACCUUCAAGGAAGAACACACAGUAAGUUAAAAUAUUCAUACCCUACUAGUUAUGUUCAGAUGAUUUCACAUAAGAUUCUUUAUAAUGUUUGAAUCAUAAGGAUUUUGUACCCGUUUUUCCCCUACACUUGGAAGUGAAACAAAUAUAUUUAGACUAGGAAGAAGGAAAUUUAAUUAUGUUGUACGUUUUUAUACAUGAUUUUUUUAGUUACUAACUACGGAUUUUUAAAAUGCCUGUUGAAUGACCUUAUACUUUUUAUUUUACAGUACAUUUCUAAUUAAAUUAUCUAUAUGCAAUUAAGGGUAAAAUUUAUAUAAAUCAAGAUAAAAGACCUAUGUUUUGGCACAUAGAAAGAAUAACAUUAGAAUCUGCCUUUGUCUCAAUUUGGUUAGCACUUUACUAGUCUCAGAGCUUUACAAAAGAUUAAAAUAUGCCAUCACUAAUUGUUAUGGCUUCUCAUCCUUUUUAAUAAGGAAGGUACGUUCAUCUCUCUUUUUUUUUUAGGAUUUUAGUGUUUACUACAUGGUACAAAUAAACAUGUUUAUUCUUAUUGCUGCUCAUUUUAAUUUUCAGAAUACAAGCACAAUUUAUGACUCAAAGUGAGUAGCAACAUAUUCAGCCAGUUUCAUUAUCUUUAAUUACUCUUGCCUAUGAAAAAUGUUCAGGAUAUUUGAAAAAUAGAGUAUUUAAUCAUACAGUAUUAGAGAAUACAACAUAAUAUAUUACUUUAUGAGAACUGCCUUCUGAUACGGGCUUGAAGUUUUAAGUGAACCAUUCAGCAUUUCGAUGCUGGAAGCAUUUUUGAAAUUGUCAAUUUUUUAUACUAGGGGAUAAUGGGACUUUUAAAAGCAUCUCUGAAAUAAAGAUAUUCUUUUUAUAGUCUUGAACAUUGUA